rnacentral:rRNA from 1 species
AACGAACGCUGGCGGCAUGCCUAACACAUGCAAGUCGAACGAGACCUUCGGGUCUAGUGGCGCACGGGUGCGUAACGCGUGGGAACCUUCCUUUAGGUUCGGAAUAACUCAGAGAAAUUUGAGCUAAUACCGGAUGAUGUCUUCGGACCAAAGAUUUAUCGCCUUUAGAUGGGCCCGCGUUGGAUUAGCUAGUUGGUGGGGUAAAGGCCUACCAAGGCGACGAUCCAUAGCUGGUCUGAGAGGAUGAUCAGCCACACUGGGACUGAGACACGGCCCAGACUCCUACGGGAGGCAGCAGUGGGGAAUAUUGGAAAAUGGGCGAAAGCCUGAUCCAGCAAUGCCGCGUGAGUGAUGAAGGCAUUAGGGUUGUAAAGCUCUUUUACCCGAGAUGAUAAUGACAGUAUCGGGAGAAUAAGCCCCGGCUAACUCCGUG